UGUAGGAAUAUUCUGCUAAAUCUCAGUAGGAACAGUAGAGCUUGUGAUGUUUGAGCCACGACCCUCUCCCCUCUGGCUCUGUGUGAUGAGGGCUCUACUCUCCGGCAGGUGAUUCUUCCUCCGUGCCUGUCCACCUGUGCCAUGGAACAACUGGGCCCUUGACCUUCGAGAGUCUGGAUUUUAGAGUCUCUUUCCCUUCCACUCCCGAAAAAGAAAGGAUGAAAUGACCCUCAGCGCUUGCCACGUGCCAGCCGCCAUAUUUGGUCCUGUAUCAACUCCGAGUUUCCCAUGCUUCAGCCAUUCAGGACUUGUGGCGAGUCACCUGGCGAGUCAAAUCCGGGUCAGACAAAAGCAACCGGACCCACGCUGACCGACUGCUGUGAGGAGCAGGCUGAUGGGAAGCUG
rnacentral:lncRNA from 1 species